AACUAUGAGCAGUUAUAGAAACUAUACAUUCAUGUAUAACUGUAAACAGUUAUAGAAACUGUACAUUCAUAUAUAAAUCUGCCAUUGUAAAUCAAGUUUGUAAGAUAAUAGAAACAAUAUCUUUCACAUGGUAUCAGAGCCAGUUUUUUGCAGUCAUGUUUGGGUCUUCUGUUCUCUGCUCUUUCUCUUGCUCUCUGCUCUCUCCCUCUCUCUGCAAAACUGUCUUUCCCUCUUUCUAUCUCAGCACCCAAGGACUCAAUCAACGAAAACGAUUAUGGUCUUGUCAUACUAGUCUUCUGAAAUCGGGAUCUAAUACAGCCUACAUAAACCACCUGCCAAAAUCUGAAACCGCCACUUGUAAACAGCCAAAACCGCCAUUUGUAAACAGCCAAAACCACCAUCUGAAAUCAACUAUUUUCGCAUCUAUCAACCAAGAAGCAAGAAGCCGUCAUCUAAAUCUGUGAUUGUCUCAAACAAAAACAAGAUCCAUUGAAGCUUCGCCGUAGAGUUGAGUUUUUUGGCCUAUUUUUUUGCUUUCCAGCCAUCAUGCUAUCCCUCUGUGAGUCUCUCUCUCUCUCUCUCUCUCUCUCUCUCUCUCUCUCUCUCUCUCAAGAUGCUCUCUAUGAAUCAAUCCCGCUCUCUCACUUUCCUUUUCCGCCUCUCUCUUACUUUCUUUUAUUUCUCAAGCUUUCUUAUCUGUGAUCCUCUCUCUCUACACCUUCUAUGAGCCCCUCUCUCUGUGCUUAUCUCACUUCUGUGAGCCUCUCUCUCUCUACACCUUCCUUUUUUU
rnacentral:lncRNA from 1 species